GGCCGGGGUCGCUGUGCUUCGCGGCGGCGCGGGUCCUCCCUUCCCCAGGAGAGAGAGAAAGAAAAAAGAAAAAUGGAGUCGCCACUGGCUUCGGCCGGUGUUGGGGGCAGGCGUACGAGACCCCGAGGCCGCGGGGACUUCCCCACCUGCUUCCAACUGACGUGAGGCGCGCCCAGCCCCAACCUAGCCCAGACUUCCUUGCAAAAAUGCCUGUUUCGGAUUCCUCACAGUACAGAUAAGAAGGAAGGCUUGAUCAGCACGUGGUGGAUCUGAAGAUUCAGAGGUGCCAUGGCUCAAAAGUAGACAUUUUGGUAAAUGUGAAGAAGUGAGAUUCAAUGAGGGUGGUAAGAAAUGAAA